UAGUUCUAUUCUUUUAGGAUUCCAAGAAAGAGAUGGGAGAAGAAGAGAUAGAGUUUCUUGAAUUACAUCAUAAAAUGCUGGAGGAGCAAAGUGAAUUGAUCAGAUUCAAAAAAGGAGCAGAGUCAUUGAUAAGAUUGACCUGCAACUAGCAAAGGAUUUUAUAUAUAACUACUGCAUCCUAAGAAGUUUAAUAUAUUUAAUUAGAAAUAGAAGAUAAUAACCAAUCACGAAAACAUAAAUCACAACUGCUACAAGGAACUCGGUAAUAGAAAAGCGAGUGAGUUAUUUUUUCUUAAGCAUAUGACAGUUAAAAUUCAAUCUAUCUAAUUCCAACAAGAUAGAGUUAGAAUAUUCUCUCUAGAAAUAUAUAGAUCAGACGAAAUUGUGUAACAACCAGAAUUAUUCAACAUAAAUAGUAAUUUAUAUAUACUAUAUUGAUCUCAACAACUAGAAUAUUGCAACUCUAGAACGUAAACAACAAAUGAAAAUGGCAGAACUACAUAAAUAUGAUAGGUAACCAGAAAGGGGAUAGGGAAUUAGAUUGAUUCAGAAAAGGACUUGAGAAGCACAAACUUUGGCUAAGCAUGAUCACAAUACACAUAAUUUUAAAAACUGCUAAUGACACCCCCUUUAUCCUUUUGUCACAUGCUUCCUAACUCAACCUGGAUUCCAAGCAAAUGUCUUCUUGGGCUGUCUAAUUCCUUGGCAUUUUGCUGUUUAGCACCAUGCCCAAUAGCUUGGCCAACCUUUGUCCAAACAACCGGCCCAUAAACAUAUCGGAGUUAUCCUUGUUAACAACAAAGUGGUAGAGGUACAAAGUUAUAAUACAUGUGCAGAUUAAAGUUGGAAAAAUAGUUAUAAGUUUAAUAUCCAACUAUUUUAUAUUUUGAACAAACUCUAACAAAAAAAGGAACUAAAGAGAGUAGAUAAUUGCAUUGGGUCAGCCACUCUAUGAAAGAAAUUCAAACAUUAAUCUCACUCUUUAGAUUAAGAACCACUCAAUUUUGAGGUAUAUUUUUGUAAAUGGCACAUUUAAGUAAGACAUACUAAUGAAUAUCCCUUGUUCCAGCUCAAGAGACUUCAAUAUAUGUAGCAUUUGAAGACUACUCAGCAUUUUCAAUUAUGUCGAAGAAUAUAGAGCAUUUCCCCUGUUAAUAAUUCAGUUUUGUUAAUCGACAAAGUGAGCAAAGUGUAUACUAGAAUUUUGUUAACUUAACCAUAAAAUAUGCAACUUUCAACAAGUAUAUUGCGUAUAAUUACAAUAAUAGCUUAAUAAUCUGUUCACAAAAGGAUAGUACCUCCAUGUUUCGAUCUUGAGCAUUUCAACCAAUAGCAAUGUAACAUCCAUCUGAAAUAAUCAUCUCACAACAAAUAUCUCGACUCUGCCACUGUAAUCAUUAGAAGUUAAAAUUGACAAACCCUAGUUGCUUUAAAAAGAUCAAAUAUGUUAUGCGCAUUCGCUUAGAAAGUAAUGAAAAUUUGCAUAGAUGUUCAACUUAGCAAUCACAUAGCACUAAUUGAAGCAAAUCAAACAGAGAAUGUUUGAGAUAACCAAAUCGCAUUUGACGAACAGAGCAAACAAAAUCACGAAGAACAGAAAACAUAAUAUAAACAAUUGUGCAUGUGAUUCUACAAUUCUAAGAGGCAGGGAAAGUACAACGCGUGGCGAACGAAGAGUGUGAUUCUUAUUCUGCAAGUUGACGGGCGGCGGCGAUGGAAUGGAGGAACAUACGACGAUGGUGGGAGCGGAGGCAU
rnacentral:lncRNA from 1 species